rnacentral:rRNA from 1 species
GACGUAGGGCGCGAGCGUUGUCCGGAUUUAUUGGGCGUAAAGAGCUCGUAGGCGGCUUGUCGCGUCGACUGUGAAAACCCAUGGCUCAACCAUGUGGUCUGCAGUCGAUACGGGCAGGCUAGAAUUCGGUAGGGGAGACUGGAAUUCCUGGUGUAGCGGUGAAAUGCGCAGAUAUCAAGAGGAACACCUGAGGUGAAGACGGGUUGCUGGGCUGACACUGACGCUGAGGCGCGAAAGCUAGGGUAGCAAACGGG